rnacentral:rRNA from 1 species
AUCAGUGGCGAACGGGUGAGUAACACGUGAGCAACCUGCCCCUGACUCUGGGAUAAGCGCUGGAAACGGCGUCUAAUACUGGAUAUGUGACGUGAUCGCAUGGUCUGCGUCUGGAAAGAAUUUCGGUUGGGGAUGGGCUCGCGGCCUAUCAGCUUGUUGGUGAGGUAAUGGCUCACCAAGGCGUCGACGGGUAGCCGGCCUGAGAGGGUGACCGGCCACACUGGGACUGAGACACGGCCCAGACUCCUACGGGAGGCAGCAGUGGGGAAUAUUGCACAAUGGGCGCAAGCCUGAUGCAGCAACGCCGCGUGAGGGACGACGGCCUUCGGGUUGUAAACCUCUUUUAGCAGGGAAGAAGCGAAAGUGACGGUACCUGCAGAAAAAGCGCCGGCUAACUACGUGCCAGCAGCCGCGGUAAUACGUAGGGCGCAAGCGUUAUCCGGAAUUAUUGGGCGUAAAGAGCUCGUAGGCGGUUUGUCGCGUCUGCUGUGAAAUCCGGAGGCUCAACCUCCGGCCUGCAGUGGGUACGGGCAGACUAGAGUGCGGUAGGGGAGAUUGGAAUUCCUGGUGUAGCGGUGGAAUGCGCAGAUAUCAGGAGGAACACCGAUGGCGAAGGCAGAUCUCUGGGCCGUAACUGACGCUGAGGAGCGAAAGGGUGGGGAGCAAACAGGCUUAGAUACCCUGGUAGUCCACCCCGUAAACGUUGGGAACUAGUUGUGGGGUCCAUUCCACGGAUUCCGUGACGCAGCUAACGCAUUAAGUUCCCCGCCUGGGGAGUACGGCCGCAAGGCUAAAACUCAAAGGAAUUGACGGGGACCCGCACAAGCGGCGGAGCAUGCGGAUUAAUUCGAUGCAACGCGAAGAACCUUACCAAGGCUUGACAUAUACGAGAACGGGCCAGAAAUGGUCAACUCUUUGGACACUCGUAAACAGGUGGUGCAUGGUUGUCGUCAGCUCGUGUCGUGAGAUGUUGGGUUAAGUCCCGCAACGAGCGCAACCCUCGUUCUAUGUUGCCAGCACGUAAUGGUGGGAACUCAUGGGAUACUGCCGGGGUCAACUCGGAGGAAGGUGGGGAUGACGUCAAAUCAUCAUGCCCCUUAUGUCUUGGGCUUCACGCAUGCUACAAUGGCCGGUACAAAGGGCUGCAAUACCGUGAGGUGGAGCGAAUCCCAAAAAGCCGGUCCCAGUUCGGAUUGAGGUCUGCAACUCGACCUCAUGAAGUCGGAGUCGCUAGUAAUCGCAGAUCAGCAACGCUGCGGUGAAUACGUUCCCGGGUCUUGUACACACCGCCCGUCAAGUCAUGAAAGUC